rnacentral:rRNA from 1 species
GAUGAACGCUGGCGGUAUGCUUAACACAUGCAAGUCGAACGGACUCUUCGGAGUUAGUGGCGGACGGGUGAGUAACGCGUGAGAAUCUGGCUUUGGGUUCGGGACAACCACUGGAAACGGUGGCUAAUACCGGAUGUGCCGAGGGGUAAAAGAGAAAUUGCCUGAAGAUGAGCUCGCGUCUGAUUAGCUAGUUGGUGAGGUAAACGCUCACCAAGGCAGCGAUCAGUAGCUGGUCUGAGAGGAUGACCAGCCACACUGGGACUGAGACACGGCCCAGACUCCUACGGGAGGCAGCAGUGGGGAAUUUUCCGCAAUGGGCGAAAGCCUGACGGAGCAAUACCGCGUGAGGGAAGAAGGCUCUUGGGUUGUAAACCUCUUUUCUUAGGGAAGAACAAAAUGACGGUACCUAAGGAAUCAGCAUCGGCUAACUCCGUG